ACGUAGGUCGCGUAUCCCUCCGCCACUGCUAUUUCUGCGAUUUCUGCUACUUUCGCGAUUUCUGUGACUUCUGCUACUUCUGCGAUUUCUGCGACUUACCACCGUAUGAAAAAGUUACAUCUGCCCACACAGAAAAUUGCAUCUCAACAAAUCUGUCAUUGGUACCCGAACUUCAUUUCAGUCACUCAGUAAAUUGAUAACUCAAAAUAUCACUGUCAACAGAUCUGGAGAAAUUGCCACUGCGUCUUUAGACCAUUUUCGUCAGACGAGAGACACAGUUCUGACUCUUGAUUACUGGUUGCUGUACGUAUCUAUCCACAUCAAGGCUAUUGAGAGAGACUCGUGAAGAUUCAAG